ACUGAUUUUUAGAGCUUUACUCUCCCAACCAACUCUUUUUAUCAUGUUUCAUUACAAUAAAGCAAAUAUUCUUUCAUUUUGAAAAUCAAAAUAUAAGCCUUUUUAUAUACAGAGUAUUUUAUCAGUCAUGAGAUCAGAAACAAGCAUUAGUGCACCAAUCUUCAAGUAAUUUUAUUUAGUUGUGUAACCUAAUUGAAAAAUUACUAAGAUUACCUUGGUAAUGAUCUGUGUCCUGGCCCAUAUCCCUUCCGUGUCCUCAGAGUUCAAAACUAAACAUUACUAUCUUGAAUCUUUUUUUUUUUUACCUUGGCACUACACUCUGGUAAAUAAAAAUAUUUAAAUAAAAAAUAGUCCCUACAUUCAAGAAUUUGCAGUCAAACGGGGAAAGACAUAUAUUUGUAAUAUAUACAAAUAACUAUAAUACAAGCUAAGACAAAACUACAAAUUUAAGAAACCAAAGAAGGAAAGUAUGUUUAGCUAGAAGUAAUUGGGAGACAAAGGGUGUCCUCAAACUAAGAUAUUACUUAUACUUUCACAAUUCUCAAUUUAGGUAUUCAUUAAAAUAAUGUUUGUUAGAGAAUUAAUUGAAUGCUUAUCUAAUUACUCUUUAUCACGCCCCCUCAGUUCUGAAAACUUAACAGGAAAAAUAAGAUUAUGCAAGUAAAGUUAAAUAUUUCUUAUCCAUGUUUUAGAGUGUUGUUGUGCUCUGGCUAUGAUAGUGAAUGAUAGUAAGAAAGAAGCUAUCUCCGCCCUCUUGAAACUUACCAUUUAACUCUAGAUAUGUAGUUUUUCAAAGCGGCCUUUGGCAUUUUUGAGUUGUGAUUUUUGGACAUAACUCUUUGUCAAUAGUCACUUUAACUUCUGAUAGAUUGUUUUUUCCCAUGACUACUUUUUACAUACUAUCUUAGUUUUUCUCUAAAUUUUUCAUAUCCAGCAAUUUGGUGAUGUUUAUGAUGGUAAUUUUUAUGUGCCUGAGAUUUGGAACAUUUUUUAUCAGUUCUGACACAGUUAUUAUUUAUGAUAAUGAUUCUUAUUUCACUUUAGUGAUAUAAUACUUGUAAUGACUGAGAUCACUCUUUUGUGCACUUCAGCUCAACUUCAGAGUAUGAAUAGUAAGAUACUCUUCAAUAGGGAGAGAAAGUUGUCUAAUCAGAAAGUUACCCUCUUAUACAUUUUAAUUCACUUUGUUAUUAUAUUGCUACAAUAUGUAAUAACUGAAAAGUUAAUGUUGUGCAUUGGGGAACACUGGUAGACUUGAAAU
rnacentral:lncRNA from 1 species